rnacentral:ncRNA from 2 species
AUAUAUCUUUGGGGCAGGUGAGAUUCCUGAUCGGUGGUACAGUCCACGAGCGUAAGCAUGAACCGGUGUAAUUCCGGUACCGACGGUUAUAGUCCGGAUGGAAAAAGAUGGUG